GGGUCAGUAGGUUGGUCAUGCCACUUGUACUGGUCUCACUGAUUCCUCCUUCCUGAUGAACUGUAAUGCCAUUAAUUUGGUGUUGCAGGGAAUCUGGACUGUUACUUUGAAAAAAUUAGAGUGUUUAAAGCAGGCCUACGCUUGAAUACAUUAGCAUGGAAUAAUGAAAUAGGACGUUCGAUCCUAUUUUGUUGGUUUCUAGGAUUGACGUA
rnacentral:rRNA from 1 species